rnacentral:lncRNA from 1 species
CUCUGUGCUUAAUAUCAGAAGGGAGGGGAGUGGGGUUUUCAGAGUGUGAAGAGGAGAAAAUACUUGCUCUCGGUCACCAGGCAAGAAUGCCCCACCAUUUUGAGAAGCCAGAGCCAUUGAAGGGACAUGUGUUUUGAGAGUCAAAUUCCUUUCCAAAUGACCUAGAUAAAGCCAAUGUUUUUCAAAGCUCUAAGCACAUCCCCAAGCACAAGUCCAAAC